UCUACAGGCGGUGGUGUUGAUCAAGACUGGCGAUUUCCAUUGGACCUGGAUUGGAGGAUAUGAUGCUGUUCAGGCAAAUGUGGAAAAGGACAGGCUAUGGUUCUGGAGUGACGGAUCUAAAUUUGAUCAUCAGAACUGGGCGAAAGACGAGCCCAAUAACUAUMAGGGUGCCAGAGAGCCAUGUGUUCAGAUGAACUUUGGAG